AAGGUUUAGCAUGGGCGUUUGUGAGACUGAGGAAGGCGUUUGAGAGAUUGAAAGAGGCGAGUGAGGAGGAUGAGAGGUUCUUUCUCGUUACUGUUUCCUUCUACCUUUUAUUCAUUUAUUUUAUUACUUUUUACAAAACAUGUAAUAAACCAAAAUUUAAUCAACGGUUUUUAGUCUUCCUCUGUUUUAUUAAAAAGGUGUACAUUAAUGUUUAUUUUUGAUUCCCAAUCCUUUUCUCUUUUAAUUUUUGGUUUCUCC
rnacentral:lncRNA from 1 species